CAGCGGCGGACGGGUGAGUAACACGUGGGCAACCUGCCUGUAAGACUGGGAUAACUUCGGGAAACCGGAGCUAAUACCGGAUAACUUCUAGCACCACCUGGUGCUAGAAUAAAAGAUGGUUCCGGCUAUCACUUACAGAUGGGCCCGCGGCGCAUUAGCUAGUUGGUGAGGUAAUGGCUCACCAAGGCGACGAUGCGUAGCCGACCUGAGAGGGUGAUCGGCCACACUGGGACUGAGACACGGCCCAGACUCCUACGGGAGGCAGCAAUAGGGAAUCUUCCGCAAUGGACGAAAGUCUGACGGAGCAACGCCGCGUGAGCGAUGAAGGCCUUCGGGUCGUAAAGCUCUGUUGUUAGGGAAGAACAAGUACCAGAGUAACUGCUGGUACCUUGACGGUACCUAACCAGAAAGCCACGGCU
rnacentral:rRNA from 1 species